UAAGCACUGACUAAAAAAACUGCGUUGCGUUUGUUACGAAUACUGCCAUUUUGUUGUAUGUUUAUUUGAGCAUUUAUUGGUUCAUAUCUUGUUAAUAACGUGCGUGUUGUUAGAAUACCUCUGAUAAUUAACCAUAGCCGGAAAUUUCGCGUAUCCUGGAAAGAGGACUCGACGGUUCCUAAAUUUCAUUCGCAAGGUGCGUCCCUGCUUUCCAUAACACAUCAGACUAUGAUGUUCACAUAUCACACGUGCGUGUUGGUGAUGAUUCUUGCGCUGUGCACGGGGGUCUCGAGGGGCCAGUGUCCAGAGAAGUGUCAUUGCGAAGGACUUCGGGUAAACUGCAGAGGACAAAAACUGUCGACCAUACCUCCUCCCCUACCCAACGCUACCGUCUUGGACCUACAGAACAACACGCUCGCAACCCUAACCGACGAUUCAUUAACAGGAUGGCAGAAUCUAACGGAACUGUAAGACGUUGUCAGAGAUCAAAACCAGUACAUGUAACGAAUGUGAAGUUAGAAUUUCGUA